UCCACGGAAAAAUGCAGGUGGCAGGCCAGUUAAGUGAAUGCUUUGCCACAGUCUUAGCAAUGAAAUAAGCUGGGCUGAGGUUCACUUAGGCUGGAGGCUCCAACCAAAGUCAAACCCCAUC
rnacentral:pre_miRNA from 9 species